rnacentral:rRNA from 1 species
AUUGAACGCUGGCGGCAGGCUUAACACAUGCAAGUCGAGCGGAGAUGAGGUGCUUGCACCUUAUCUUAGCGGCGGACGGGUGAGUAAUGCUUAAGAAUCUGCCUAUUAGUGGGGGACAACAUUCCGAAAGGAAUGCUAAUACCGCAUACGUCCUACGGGAGAAAGCAGGGGAUCUUCGGACCUUGCGCUAAUAGAUGAGCCUAAGUCGGAUUAGCUAGUUGGUGGGGUAAAGGCCUACCAAGGCGACGAUCUGUAGCGGGUCUGAGAGGAUGAUCCGCCACACUGGGACUGAGACACGGCCCAGACUCCUACGGGAGGCAGCAGUGGGGAAUAUUGGACAAUGGGGGGAACCCUGAUCCAGCCAUGCCGCGUGUGUGAAGAAGGCCUUAUGGUUGUAAAGCACUUUAAGCGAGGAGGAGGCUCCUGAGACUAAUACUCUUGGAUAGUGGACGUUACUCGCAGAAUAAGCACCGGCUAACUCUGCGCCAGCCGCCGCAGUAA